CAAUGGGGCAUAACUACUGAAAGGGGGGGAACAAUGGGGGCAUAACUACUGAAAGGGGGGAAUAAUGGGGGCAUAACUAUUAAAAGGAGGGAACAAUGGGGGCAUAACUACUGAAAGGGGGCACAAUGGGGGGAUAACUGUUAAAUGGGGGCACAAAGAGGGCAUAACUACUAAAAGGGGGGCACAGUGUGGGCAUAACUACUAAAAACCUGCUGCCUUUAUGUUCUUCCACCAUUUCCUCUUAAAGACCUCUCUGCAGGCCCCUCUCUUCCACCCCUGACCUCUCCGCUCUCAUCUCCUCACACUCUCUCUCCUCUCUACAUCCCCAGGAAUCUCUCGAGCUCUGCCGCAGCCGCAGAUCGUGCAGAGUGGAGGUGGGCGUGGCCUCCGCCGCUCGCUCAGCCACGUCAGCCUUCCCCGCCUAAUAAAGUUUUUCGCUUUUAAAGCCGCCGCUCAGCAUGCCGGGAGUUGUAGUCUCGGUCCUCCGCUGUGGAGGUUCUUCUCAUGGACUGCUUAUUGGGACCAGGCUGAGAAGCAGGAGGCGGCAGUAAAGGACCGGGACGUUGGGAGAAGAUCAAGAGGUCGAUAACCUGAAGAUCUCCGGCUCGUCUGCCGAAUAUUACGGCUGAUACACCUUACUGGUCUACAGCGAGACAUCCUCGAGGAUCCCACCACUAAAAUGAG